GACCCCAAGAGAUGCCCUGUGCCCCUGGAACUGUGGGACCAGAAUCUGCUAACUUGUAACCACCAACACUCCACCCAGUGUGUCAUAGGAAAUUAUGUUGGCCAGAAUGGAGAAUGUGUCGGAUGCGUUGGAUGUUACCCUCUACAAACUGCACCAGUAACAGAAGUAACUGAGGUUCAUCCAAUGCCCCAAUAAAACUACAUAAUACGUCUGUUUCAACAACAUCAAGAUUUAACACGGAAUAGCGAACAACUCAGGGGUGACGAACGUGAGAGAAGAUCCACGGUAAUAAUCCUACUGCAUCACCAGGCUGGAGAUAGGUUAUGAUCCUUCCUUACUUAUAUCACUGAUGAUGUUACUGGCAAUGUGAGGAAUGGGUUACUUGAGGACCACUUGAUAUAAGAACCAGUGUGCUAGAAGUGUGGUGGGUGUGACCAGCAAGAGUGACCACUAAGCUGUUACUGUCCGCGACCGCAAAGUCACCGCAUCCCUGUCUGCCAAAACCUUCCUUUGCCAACAUUCAGAAUGUGUUCUGCCGUUGCUAACUCACCUGUUGUUAUGACUCAUAAUUGUAUUCUUCUGUAAAAUUACACCUUAUUAAUCAACCAAUUCAUUAUAAACUUAUAUGGGAAUAAUCACUGUAUUAUAAAGAGCAAAUGUUACUCAUCGAGUGAAGUACACGAAGUAUGUUGUCUACUUCAGUCUAACUCGAUCGCAUGAUUCUGUCUAUAAGGCACACUGCAAACUAAUAUGUAAAAUCGUUUAACGUUAUUUGCGUAUUAAUUUUGUAACCUACUUGGCAUUCAAAAGUUUUCAGCGUUGCAUAUAUUAAUAAAUCAUAAAAUUGUGA